UUCACUGUGUUGUUCAGUAAGUCAGUGCUGGUGAUGAACAUCAUGAUUCUUGUCUGGACUCUCAGCUUUCUGAUCCUCAGCUACACUCUUGGGUUUCCCAUGCUUAAUAGUACAAGUGAAUCUCACAUGGAGACUUUUCCAAAUGUUACAGAGAGCAACUCCACAGAGUAUAUUAACACCAAUCUGACGAACAGGAUACGAAAAAGGCCUUCCGCGUA